CCACUAUUGCCUUUAUGUUUAAAAUUGAGAAUGGAAACGGGGAAUUCGUAAAAGAGAUUACAAUUCGAAGAAACAGCCCACUAAAGGGUCGUUAACAAAUCGAGCUUCAGAUAGCCACGAAACAAAUACGUGUUUUAAUUCAGCGAAAAAACAUAUAAAUGAACCAAACCUUUAAAAAUAUACAAAAAUUAAAAAAGGUCAAUUGCAUCUGAAUUUGGAUAGACACAAAUCUGCUGCGGGGCUAAACAUGUUUUGUGAGAUCUCAACCCUCCACUUAUACCUCCAGCCAAUGUAGAAUAAGCAAACCGCACGUCAAUACGCACAGUAAAACUUCGUUUUUGAGAAGUCCGAGUCCAAUGUUAGCUGAUUCAUUUCAAACAGGGUUGUAUGAGGAAACUGAAGAAAUUGGUUUACAAGUAAAGCCUUGGUUUUUUUUUUUGUUACCUAUUCUGACAUUAGACUUGGACUUCUUUUGAACUGAGUUUUACUGUUUACUUUUCAGGGUUGAGAUCUUACAAAACAUAUUUAACCCAGUCGAAUUCUGAGACUGACCAAAGUCAGGAGCCUCUGGCAUUUGUUUGUCUUGAAUGAUAUAUAAUUUAGUUUUUUUUAUAAUUUUUGCAAUUGGAGGUAUAUGAGACGUCCAUUUUCAAUGAAUUAUUACACAUUUUGUGUAGGGGCUAGCUCAAGCCCACCACAUGAUGCGGAACUUUUUGGAUGUGUUAAAGACCAUUGAUGGCCUUCGACUGAUUUCUGCACUUUGAUCGGUUCUUGUCUCUUCGAUACAUUCCCCAUUUCUAUUCUCAAUUUUGACUGUAGUAUACCACUGUUCAAAAGUCAGAAAUCGAUUGAGAGAAAACAAAUACGGAUAACUAAAACCGAGAGUAACACACCAACAACAAAAGGAAAACAACGGAACAACAGAAACACUGACGUGCAACAAAAACAAACGCCACCAUACAUAGAAACGGACUUUUUGAUAACAGCUGUCAUAUUCCUGGCUCGACUCCGGACAUUUUAAGAACACAUGUUGGGUUGAAACCUCCCGCUUAUAUGGGAUAGUUUGAAACAUGCAGAACAAACAAUUGCAAGAACACUUAUCACAAAGAACCGAUUAAUAAAUAUAAUACAAUAAUACAUUUCAGCAUGUAAACCAGAGAAUAACAACGGACAUCCUCCUUUAAUGACACAGCACACCACCAACAUUGACAUACUUUUGCGAUGUAUGUUUAAU
rnacentral:lncRNA from 1 species